rnacentral:rRNA from 1 species
UACGGGGGGAGCAAGCGUUGUUCGGAUUUACUGGGCGUAAAGGGCGCGUAGGCGGCCAGCGCAAGUCAGUUGUGAAAUCUCCGGGCUUAACUCGGAAAGGUCAACUGAUACUGCGCGGCUAGAGUGCAGGAAGGGGCAACUGGAAUUCUCGGUGUAGCGGUGAAAUGCGUAGAUAUCGAGAGGAACACCUGCGGCGAAGGCGGGUUGCUGGGCUGACACUGACGCUGAGGCGCGAAAGCCAGGGGAGCGAACGGG